AAGGCGACGACGGGUAGCCGGCCUGAGAGGGCGACCGGCCACACUGGGACUGAGACACGGCCCAGACUCCUACGGGAGGCAGCAGUGGGGAAUAUUGCACAAUGGGCGAAAGCCUGAUGCAGCGACGCCGCGUGAGGGAUGACGGCCUUCGGGUUGUAAACCUCUUUCAGCAGGGACGAAGCGAAAGUGACGGUACCUGCAGAAGAAGCACCGGCCAACUACGUGCCAGCAGCCGCGGUAAUACGUAGGGUGCAAGCGUUGUCCGGAAUUAUUGGGCGUAAAGAGCUCGUAGGCGGUUUGUCGCGUCGGCUGUGAAAACCUGGGGCUCAACCCCGGGCCUGCAGCCGAUACGGGCAUACUAGAAUUCGGUAGGGGAGACUGGAAUUCCUGGUGUAGCGGUGAAAUGCGCAGAUAUCAGGAGGAACACCGGUGGCGAAGGCGGGUCUCUGGGCCGAUACUGACGCUGAAGAGCGAAAGCGUGGGGAGCGAACAGGAUUAGAUACCCUGGUAGUCCACGCCGUAAACGUUGGGCGCUAGGUGUGGGCGACCUUCCACGUGGUCUGUGCCGCCACUAACGCAUUAAGC
rnacentral:rRNA from 1 species